ensembl:lncRNA
CUGCCACUGGGGAAGGUUUUUCUUUUGGAGAUUGCUCCUUGUGGAGUUUUCUUGUGAGCCUACAGCACUGGACAAGAGAAACUUGACGGGGGAAAAAUGAAGAGCAAUCAGCUUUAAUGAAUGUUAGCUGGAGCUGUGCAGCUUGAACCUUCCAUCAACAGAUUUCAUUCACUUUGUCCAUCAUUUAAAACUUUUCCAAAAAUUAAAUCCUUUCCAUGUGGCUCUGUUUCUUGUUGCUUCUAAAGCCAAGAGAACAGAAUUAAGGCUAGAAAUUAAGCAGAAAUGUGUUUUUCUACUUCUAUAAGGUUUGGGGAAAAUGUUAUGUUGCUUUACAAUCAAAAUUUGCUUUUACCUUAUGCAACUACUGAAUUAUAUUACUGUUAAACAAGGAAUAUUAUUAAGCAAUGAUUGAGGAGAACAACAUUGCCUUAUAUUACUUUUAGCUUGCAGAAGCCACUUUGUUU